CCUACGGGGUGGCAGCAGUGGGGAAUAUUGGGCAAUGGGCGCAAGCCUGACCCAGCAACGCCGCGUGAAGGAAGAAGGCUUUCGGGUUGUAAACUUCUUUUCUGAGGGACGAAGAAAGUGACGGUACCUCAGGAAUAAGCCACGGCUAACUACGUGCCAGCAGCCGCGGUAAUACGUAGGUGGCAAGCGUUAUCCGGACUUAUUGGGUGUAAAGGGCGUGUAGGCGGGAAAGCAAGUCAGAUGUGAAAACUGAGGGCUCAACCCUGAGCCUGCAUUUGAAACUGUUUUUCUUGAGUGCUGGAGAGGCAAUUGGAAUUUCGUGUGUAGCGGUGAAAUGCGUAGAUAUACGGAGGAACACCAAUGGCGAAGGCAGAUUGCUGGACAGUAACUGACGCUGAGGCGCGAAAGCGUGGGGAGCAAACAGGAUUAGAUACCCGAGUAGUC
rnacentral:rRNA from 1 species